AAUUUUAACCAAUUAAUUCAAAUCAAUUAAUCCUAAUCAACUAAUCAUAUUUAUUUCUUUCCUUUUGCAUCAUUUUUUUACCAAAUGAUUAAUUGAACCAAUUAAUAUCCAGAUAACCCAAAGUGAACGUUCAGCUCAAUCUAUAAGAUCUUCAUGUUUUAACAGUAACAAUCGAAUGGCCGAUUAUGUUGUAAAUAUUAUGCUAAUUGUAUCAAUGGCUCUUCAUCUGUAUUUAAUGAUCAUUUGAAUGAAUAUAAAGACAUGGAUUCGCAAAUCACAAAUGAUAAUGGAAAUGAUGAAUUGGUUGAAACACCAUUAAAUGGAUCCUGUUAAUCAAAUGAAUGAUCAACUGGAAUCAAAUCAUCAUCUCAAUCAAUUGAAAUAAAUCAAAAAUAUUUGAUCAACUCUCAGUUUCAAAUAAAAUAAAUUGAAAUUGAACAAAAUGAAGCUGAAACUACUCAACAAAAUCCAAUAAUGAUUGGUAACUAAAUGAUCAAGGAUCACUUUCAUGAAUCCUGAUUACAAACAAAUCUACUUAGAAAUUAUUGUUCAAUUGAACAGUUGAUUAAUCAAACCUAAAUUUAAAAGAGUUGUAUUAUCAACUCAAUUAAACCACAAAAUCUCCAUUCUCAAUACAAUUACAACAAUAACAGUUAACUUUGAAGGUUAAUUGUUAAAAGGAUUGUCAAAACAAAGUUGUAAUCUUUAAUUUAACUCUUCCUUUGCUUUUGACACAAAACCAUCAUUUGUAUAAAUUAAUCAAUUGUAAUUUAAUAUUAUUAUUAUAUUUAAUAACGAAUUGAAAUACUUAAUAAAUUUCAAUAAA